AGCUCCAAUAGCGUAUAUUAAAGUUGUUGCAGUUAAAAAGCUCGUAGUUGAAUUUCUGGUCAAUUGUAGUCUUGGCUUCGGUCGGGCUAUGGUUGGUCAUCCGUUUGCAAGCUGCACUCGGCCUUCACUGGUACGGUGUAGUGAGCUGACAUUUUACUUUGAAAAAUUAGAGUGUUUCAGGCAGGCUUUUGCCCGAAUACAUUAGCAUGGAAUAAUGGAAUUGGACUCUGGUCCAUUUGGUUGGUUAUUGGAUCUGAGUAAUGGUUAAUAGGGACAGUUGGGGGCAUUAGUAUUUAAUUGUCAGAGGUGAAAUUCUUGGAUUUAUUAAAGACUAACUUAUGCGAAAGCAUUUGCCAAGGAUGUUUUCAUUAAUCAAGAACGAAAGUUAAGCACG
rnacentral:rRNA from 1 species